rnacentral:rRNA from 1 species
UACGGAGGGAGCUAGCGUUGUUCGGAAUUACUGGGCGUAAAGCGCACGUAGGCGGCUUUGUAAGUCAGAGGUGAAAGCCCGGGGCCCAACCCCGGAAUUGCAUCUGAAACUGCCUGGCUAGAGUCCCGGAGAGGAAGGCAGAAUUCCCGGUGUAGGGGUGAAAUCCGUAGAUAUCGGGAGGAAUACCAGCGGCGAAGGCGGCCUUCUGGACGGUGACUGACGCUGAGACGCGAAAGCGUGGGGAGCAAACAGG